rnacentral:rRNA from 1 species
GACGAACGCUGGCGGCGUGCCUAAUACAUGCAAGUAGAACGCUGAAGGAGGAGCUUGCUCUUCUGGAUGAGUUGCGAACGGGUGAGUAACGCGUAGGUAACCUGCCUGGUAGCGGGGGAUAACUAUUGGAAACGAUAGCUAAUACCGCAUAAGAGUAGAUGUUGCAUGACAUUUACUUAAAAGGUGCAAUUGCAUCACUACCAGAUGGACCUGCGUUGUAUUAGCUAGUUGGUGGGGUAACGGCUUACCAAGGCGACGAUACAUAGCCGACCUGAGAGGGUGAUCGGCCACACUGGGACUGAGACACGGCCCAGACUCCUACGGGAGGCAGCAGUAGGGAAUCUUCGGCAAUGGACGGAAGUCUGACCGAGCAACGCCGCGUGAGUGAAGAAGGGUUUCGGAUCGUAAAGCUCUGUUGUAAGAGAAGAACGAGUGUGAGAGUGGAAAGUUCACACUGUGACGGUAUCCUACCAGAAAGGGACGGCUAACUACGUG